CUGAAUGCCAUUUCCAGAGAACAGUGGGAGAAUCACAGCUAUCUUGAAUCUUCAGGCUCUGUUUUGAUGACUUUCUUUUCUAAAGUAAAAGCUGAGUGAGGGUAGUCUUUUAAAAUCCCAAGACUCUCUGCAUAAAAAUGGAAACAGGGUGUGUUGAUACUUUAAAUCAAUGGAUCACAAAAAACAAAUUCAAACAUAUGAAACAAAUCCCCAAAAUCCACAGCAAACAGUAUCAACUAUUCAUAAUUCUGCAAUUCCAUAAAAAUUGUUUAUGGAAUUUAUGUUUUAUGUUUAUAGAGUUUGUGAUUAAGAGCUUCGAUUCUGGAUUUAAAUUCCAUCUCUGCCAAUUACUAGCUGUGUACAUCUCCAAGCAACGUACACACCUCUCUAAGCCUUAGUAUCUUUCUUCAUCUGUAAUAUGGGGAUAGUAUCUAUAUAGGGCGGCAUGAGAGUUAAACGAUGAAAGGCACAAAAAAGCAUUUAACAAAUAGACCAUAUUUUUAUUUAACAUUUGGUUCAACAUGAUAAAAAAAUAUAUGUGAAAUAAAAUGGGUCACACGUAUACAAAGUUACUGGCUAAAAUAUUUAAUCACUAUCAAUGAAAAAAAGAGACAAAAAAAAUCUUCCACAUUUCAACAUAGAACUAUCUUUAAAAGUAUCUCCAGCCAUGACGCAUGAUAGAAGAACGAAGACUACUUUCAUAAGGAACCAUUUCCUGGAGUCAGGUGUGUGCAGUUAUUUCAACCUCACAAAAACAGCAGAGAAUGACAGCAUAGAGCACUGAUAGGAAGCACUAGCACUAAAAGACAAAUAUAUAUGCACACACUUUGAAAAGGAUUCUAGAAAUGUAACCAAUACGAAUAGCUGAUCCGAAAUUAGGCAGUUCAAUUUAUGAACUUACUCUAUGAAAAAGCAGAUCUUAAAUUUAGAAGAGUAUAAUACCAGUAGCUACCAUUUACUGAAUUCCUAUCAGCCAGGCAAUUCUAUAUAUAUAUAUGCUACCAGCCAGACAAUUCUAUAUAUAUGCUACCUGUAGAACACUCAUUAACUCCAUGCGGUAGAAGUGAUACUUGUUUUACAGAUGAAGCAACGGACUUCAAGUGAAGUUACUUUAACUCAAAGGCUGAGUGAUACUACAUAUUUUCAAAUGGUGUUGUUCUCUAAUACUGUGUCGAACUCACUUUUUCUUGGGUGAAAAUAGGUAAACAUCUAACAGUAAUAAGGAAUAACUUUUCCUUUAUGGAGUUCAGUUUACUUCUGAAAUAUAAAUAUCACCCCCAAAAUGCAUCUGUAAGAAAAGUUUAGACUUGGUGUACAGGGUUUUCUUAGUACGAAAAGAAACAUGUAAUCCCUCAAUUUCACAUUAUGAAAGGCUGGAAAAAGGUAAUUACAUAAAUCAGCCACGUAUUAUUUGGUUUUAAAUCUUGUAUAAAAGUAACCAUUCAUGUAAUAGCUAAUCAAAAUAGUAUCAACCUUCAUAAGCUUCUGUCAAUUCUUUGGAAUACCAGUUUCUAAAAAAGAUUGGCUAAUGGGGCACCUGAGUGGCUCAGCCAGUUAAGACCCUAACUCGGGGUCAAGCAUCCUGAGUCAAGCAUCCCAGGGUCAUGAAUUCAAGCCUACUUUAUACAAACAAACAAAAGACUUGCUAUUAUUCGAGCAAUCUAUUAUUUCCAAAAGGAGAAAAACUGACUAGUAACAUUGUUAGUAAAUGACCUUUUUUUUUUUUUUUUUUGGUGGGUGGGGGGUGGACACGGGGUGGGGAGGGGAGUAGGGAAUGACAGUGGAGGGCAGGAAAACAGAAUUUAAAGAUAUUUUAUUCCAGUGUUACUCUAAUAAUAUCCCAUAUUCUUACCUGACUGGGACUUUGCCUCACUGGGAUAAAGUCUACUCAGCUCUCCAUCCACCACAAAAUGAUGGGGUUGUCUGUUCUGUAAAUUAGGCAUUCGGAGAUUCAAAGGUCUUUCUCCUAAUGAAAAGGGGGAAAAAAGCAACAUGAACAAUACUAAAAACACUUUGUGGUUUUUCUUAAAAAUAAGUUUUCACAAAUUGCCUGAACACUCCUUAGGAAAGAAGUAAGGAAGGCCAACAGGCACUGAACAAUUUGAAUAAGAGUUAGAGAAAUAUCUUAAAUGAUAACUUAAGAGGGAAAUGGCGAUUCAUGCUAGUUCCAAGGUUUAUGAAUCUGCCGGGACAUUAAGACUGAAACAUGAACUAAACAAAAGACUGGGAUUUCCAGUAAGCACUCCAGCUUUAGCAUGUAAUACAUCCCCCGAGUAAGGCAUUUUCUUAGCAGUGCAACCAUUUUAUUUACCAAGACAUGUCAUUCACUAUAUAAUAACACUAGAGACAGAGAAGGCUUCAAGCAACUUCCUGUUAACAACAAAGUCUAUGGUAAAUCCAUGAAGACAGAAUUAGCACAGAUAUGGUAAUAACGCUGAAUGCACCAAAUCCUAUUCUCUGUCAUAAUCCUAAAUCCAUCACACAGAGCUGACUGCUACCCCACAGUGCACUGUCCUGGUUUCACAAAUUAAGAGUCACCAAAUCUUUCAUUAAUUUUGCUUUUGCUUCUUAACCCUUUUGAGUCUUAACUGUCAAGGAUGACUUAGAGAAGUUAAACAAGACCUCAACUAUAAAGUUUCCAUAAUAUUUUAAAAAGGAAGAAUGUUCUUCUCCUCCAGUACUCUGAAAUCAGCUGACAUAUUUUACUCUACAUUUGGCGAAUGCUUAUUAAGAUGGUAUUGUUACUGGGGCACCUGGGUGGCUCAGUUGUUAAGCAUCUGACUUUGGCUCUGGUCAUGAUCUCACAGUUCUGAGUUCAAGCCCCUCUUCGGGUGAAGCCCACUUCUCUUUCUUUCUCUGCCCUUCCUGGGAUUCUCUUUCUGCCCCCUCGCUCAUUUGCGCGCGCGCUCUCUCUCUCCAAAAAAAAAAAACAAACAAACAUGGUUCUGUUACUUAGAAAGAAAUCUAGUAUUUUGACAGUAGUAACCACUCUAGAAAACUGUAAUAAUAUGUAAACAAAACAAAAAAGACGGUCCUACAAAAAUUAUUGUUUUUCUUCAGACACAUAUCACUAUUUGAAACUAGUUAUUCUCUUCCUCCACUGCAGCAUAAGCUCCAAGCCAGCAGGGGCUUAACUUCACCAAUGCAUCUUCAGUGCCCAGAAGGAUGCCUGGCGGCACCCAGGAAAUACUAUGAGUAAAUGACAAUGACUUGAGAUUUUCUUCAUGUGUGAAUACAAAAAAAUGAAAAUAAUUUUUAAAAUGAUAAAAAUACUCAUGAAUCAUAGCUUUCUAAACCUAAGUGUCUAAGAGAACAAUCUCCAACAUACCACACAAAAUAUUUUAUAGGGACUGUAGGCCAAUCUAAAGCCUGAGAGAAUACAAAAUUUCUUCAAGUCUCUCCAUUUGUAUACUAUCUCUACAAAUCUCAACUCUCAUCACAGUACUUUAGAAGCAGUUAACCAUAUUCCCUUAGAAACCAAAUGUUAUAAAUUUCAUAGAUAAAUCUGUUUUUGAAGUCUAAAAAAGUAUGAAGUUGUGGUCUUUUAAAUAAUGACAAACGUCUCCCAUGGAAUCAGUUUCUUUGGGGGAAAUGAUCUGUAAUGUUUACAUUUCCCACUCCCACUCACCCUUUACAAAAUACAUGGCAAAUGCAUGUGUCGGCUACUGUUUAGGGAUAAUAAGGUAAAAACCAAACAUACAAACAAAAAAAACCCCAAAAUAAUUACGAGUUACAUUUGCAGGAUGAAUUCCUUCUUUUUAAAAAAGAGACAAUUUACCAAUUAAUUUUUAGACAGAAUAUAUAAAAUAAUCUCUCUAAAAUAUUAAGAUUUAAAAGUAGGCAAACUUUUGUUUCUCUCUGACGUGCACCUAGCAACUGCGCUAGAAGCAUAGGCCACUCUCGAGAGGUACCUUGUCCGUCAGAGCUGUCAGCAGCCAGGCCGUUAGGGCUGUGCUCUUCCGACGUCUGCCUGUACAGCCCUGCGGACAGUCUUCUCUCAGCAUGCUGCAGUCUCUCACAGCCAGCUGGGGCGCAAAGGAACUCGAUCUGCUUUGCCAUCACCUUUUCAGGCUGCUAGUAAGUAAAGCAAAAAUAAAAUCAGUAACUAAAACAUUCUACAUGGUUUUAAUGGUUUAAAGAUGCCAAUUUCAGACUCCAGCAAAUAUAUUUAGUAUUCAUUAAAUUAGUUCGCACUUCAUGUGAUAUACACAUUCCAUAAAUAUGCUUAGAUGUCUAUAUCAUCAUGUUAAAACAUAAAAUGUUGGAUUUUGUGCAAAAGAAAAAAACCUUCCUGCUCAUCCUUGAAAGAGAAUUCCACUUCAGCUCAAAGGCAAAAUAACCUUAGCUUUGUUUCCCAAAGUACUGAGUCCUUUAAAAUAUUUUUUUUAAAAAGGAACCUCAGAGCAACAGCAACAUCUGCUAUAAUCUGCUUCUAACACACAGGGUGACAUCUUGGCAUUUUUUAUUUUAGGAUCUGGCACUACACAUGCUCUGAUAUGAUGACAGUAUGUUUGGGGGAGAAAAGGUGUAAAAUGGCUGUCUAGAAGAACAAGACAAAUACAUCUCCCACCAAAAUCAAACAAUGCAAAUUAUGCAGGAAAAACAUGAGUGCCAACAAGAAUCUUCACCUUGCUCGUGGAAUGAGACUGCGGUAUUUCCCAACCAAUCGUAAAAAGACAUGCUUUAAAAUCACAAUUAAGUUGGCUGACAUACAAAUUAUCUCUGUGUGUGUUUUGUAAGUUUCUUCUUUAUGUAUUGCUUUAAGUUACUUACAUGUGACACUGAAAGCACUGUAUUUAUGUAUUUUGCUAAGCAGGUAAUAAUCAAAAUGCAGACAGGAAUCACUACCAUUCCAUAUGAAACAGUAGCACAAGGAAGCUCCUAUAUAAAAUUAGUUACGAAAAAUCCUGAUUCACAGUAGUAAAAAUCAACAGGUGAAAAAUAUUAAUUCAGAGACUGGGAUAAAAGCUUAUGCUAUUUUUCUGAAUGCACAUAAACCUGAUCAAAAGGAACAGUAAUGUCGAUUCACUGGAGCUUAUUAAUUGAUAAAACUUCAGUAAGAUUUCUAAGGAGGAAAUGGAGUUUUCAUCCUCUGAACAAGACAAAAACAAGACUUGGCACUACUGAAUUUGACCCAAAGCAGUCACUAGGCAGAAGAUCAACAGGAAUAAAACUUCCGGUGUUUUCUAAAAGGUUAAAUUAGACCUUUUAACACCUUUUAGAAAUGUUAAAUUAUAUUUAAAUUAAAUGUUAAUUUUCACAGACAACAAUAAAAUAACUCAAUAGCAAAAGCACCUGAAGCUACACAUUAAUUUAAGGAUUUUUUUUACCAUACACGAAUUGAAAUGAUUUAACAAUAGCUACCAUGGCAAUUGAUGUUGUGUUGAGAACGAGUUCUAGUUUAUCUCAGAGUUGUAUCACACAGCCAUAGUCAACAUGGCUGUUUUCCUGGUACCAAAUUGAGUUUUCUUAGGUAGAGAAUCUGUCUUUCUUCCUACAAAACUACAAAGAAUAAAUAUCACUCUAUCAGAUUCUGCUCAUAACCAAAUCAAACUACGUUGUUGUUGCUAUCUUGUUGAUACAGCUGUGGAUCAGAUGACAUUUAAAAAAGCACUAGAAAGAAAUCCAAUCCCUGGAUGCUUAAAACCGAAGCUAGCUGAAACAGCCAUUUAUUGUUCAUCAACAGACAUUAUUAGGAAAUGUUAACUGGUGGUUUGCGUUACCUGUGAACUAAGAGCAGCAAGUUCUUCACUCUUAGCUUUAGCCUGCUGGAAGAGUGUCUGCACAGAAUCCUGGAAAUCUGGAAAUCCAUCCUAUGGGCCAAAGCAUAAGUCCUUUUUAGUUGGAGUUUGUAAAUAAAAUAUCAGAACUGGGAAGACAGGGCCAAGUAAACAGCUUUAAUCCUACAGUUCAAGUAAUCAUGAUUAAAAUUUUAAUGUAUAAUACUUCACUUCAGACUUUUAUGGUACGAACUUUAUUUCUACAGCUGUAACAUCAGUAAAAAUACAAAUGAAAAAGAGAAAAAGAUUUAUAUGUUUAUACAUUUCACAUAGCAUUUUGUCUAGUGGUUCAACUAGUAAUAUUCACUAUCUUCAUACUGGACAUUCUUUUCUUUUUCUUAUUUUUGGUUUGAAAACCACCACAAAAAUAUUUUCAUGGAAAUAGCAUUUUCCAUAGCUUAGAUUUUCCGAUACAAUAGAUUGCAGAAGUACAAUUACAGCAAAGGGAUGGACAUUUUUAUGAACAUUUUUCUUUCACAUCCUCUACCCAAGGGCCUUCAAUGGUUAAUCUUACCAUAACUUUUCUUUGCCAGCACUGGGCGGUGUUGGCUUCUUAAUUUUUGCCAGUUUGCAUUUUGGUAUCAAUAUUCAAAAAUUUUUAUUACAUUUUAUCUACUGUAGUUGUGUAUACAUUUAUUUUGUAAAUUCUUCUAUCACUAUAAACUUCAGAAAGGCACUCUGCUUUACAGAUUUGAUAAAUACUCAACUCUACCCUCCAGUUUUUCUAAAGCUUUAUCUGUUUGCUUUGUUUUUUAAAUUUAACUCUCUAGUCCAUCAGGAUUUUAUUUUGUUAUAUGUAAUGUUGUAAAGAACCAAUGUAAAUUUCCUUCGAAGUGCUACCCAAUAAUCCCGACUGGAAUUUCAGAAUUCUUCCAUGUUGACUUGUGAUUUCUCCUUCAGCAUUUCAUAUAAGAGGCAAUGGUGAUUUGAAUUCUCAACACCUGCACUCAAGUUCCAAUUCUACCACUUAACACUGGAUGAGUAAUUUAACCUUUCAGAAGGUUAGUUUCCUCAUAUGAAAAAUAAAGAUAAGAGCAACUAUCUGUUAGGGUUGUUGUGAGGAGCAAAUGAGAUACUGCCUUCAGCAUGUAAUCACUGCUAAAUAAGUGUAUCAAUGCAUCCUUAAUUCUUACAUAAAACAGAGCCUACCUCAGGCACUCUACUCCUGGACAAUAUACCAACUUACAUUAUUACCACUGUCCACUUUAUGUAUAUAUAAAAGUGUCAACCUACUACUUUUCUCAGUUAUUUUGUGGGUUUUUUGGUAAUUUAUUGCUCCACAUGAAAUUGUUAUCUACAAAUAUCAUGACAGCAUGGUUUUAGUAACCUUACUAAAAGCUACUAAAGGACUCUUCACAGAAAUGGUCACUGACCUCCAAAACAUUUCUCCCCUUGUUUCAUGAACUAUAUAUUUGUGUAACAAAGGGUAAAUCAUUAAAAACCAAAGUUCUUAUAAUAACAGCAGAAAGAGAUGUGAUAAUAACAAAAUAUUUUAUCUUAUUUGAAAUAACAGAUACGGAUUCAAAAGCUUUUCCCCAACAAGGUCUUAUUUUUCCACUGCAGAACUCAUGUUUUCAAAGAUUUCAUCUACCAAACUUCUUUUCUUAAGUAGUAAUUUACUAUUUUAAAAUUCAAAGACAUGAAAUGAAACGGAGUCAGAAGCAAAUAAAUUUGACAUCUUGAGAUAGUCUCAUGUAGCUUUAUGGUGGGUAAACAUAUAAUCAACAUUUUUAUUUUUUAAUAGUUAUUUAUUUAUUUUGAGAGAAAGAGAGAGAAUGUGAGCAGGGCAGGGGCCCAGGUAGAGAGACAGAGAGAGAGAGAGAGAGACAGACAGACAGACAGAGACAGAGAGGGAAUGCCAAGCAGGCUCCACACUCUGUGUGGAGCCCAAUGUGGGGCUCAAUCUCACAACUGUGAGACCAUGACUUGAGCCAAAAUCAAGAGUAGGACGCUUAACCGACGAGCCACCCAGGCACCGUAGAAUUUUUUUAGUAUUGAAAAAAGCUUCCUGUCUAGGCCCCUACAAGACCAAAGACCCUUGGCUCAGAAGAAUGUAUGGAAUAUAAUCAUUAACAGAGCCAGAAUGAACUUUAUGCAAGUGUAUAUAAUCUAAGUCUAAAUCAAAAGUACACUUUUUUAGCCAUUCAGUUUUUCUCUAAGAACUUAUUUAGACCUAAAAACCUAACUCUCUCUUUUUAGCGAUCUCUCCUUUAAGUUCUGAAGUUCAACAAGGUAAGGUAGUAGAAGACUUGGAAAAGAGAAGCUAUCAUUUUCCAGGUGACUACCAUGUACCACCAAUUCCCAACUAUCAUUUGACCUAUAUUAUCUCAUUUAAUCCCCACCACAAACCACCCUGGGUUUCUCUCAUUUUACAGCUACGGACAUUGACUUCAAAGCCCGUGCUCAAACGAGAAAGUCCUAGACUUACAUACUUAUGAAACUCCUAACAAUAAACAGAGGCACAUCUCUUGGAUUUUCAUAAGCUGAACGGGUUUAACCCUCUGAUUUAUACUGAGUUCCAAAUCCAAUUGUACUACUUAUUUGCUGUGAUACUGGACAGACCAUUUCAUGUUUCUGUGUCUACUCUGCUAACUUUAGAACCAUUUUUUUUUUUAACGUUUAUUUUUUUGAGGCAGAGAGACAGAGCAUGAACAGGGGAGGGGCAGAGAGAGAGGGAGACACAGAAUCUGAAACAAGCUCCAGGCUCUGAGCUGUCAGCACAGAGCCCGAUGCGGGGCUCGAACUCACGUACCGUGAGAUCAUGACCUGAGCUGAAGUCGGACGCUUAACCGACCAAGCCACCCAGGUGCCCCUAGAACCAUUUUAAAGAAGCAAAAAUUGAUAAAGAACACUUAGCACAAUGUUUGGCACACAGAUAUUACCCAACAAAUGUCUGCUACUGAUAUUUAUUAAGUUCCCUUUAAAAGCUACCGGAUUUAACCACAGUAAAAUAGAGAACACGCUGUUAAGUGACUUACUGCAUUUCUAUGAUACAGCAUAGGCAGCUCAGAGAUUACUUACAUACUAGACAUCUUGGGUUUUUAACACUAAAACCAGCAGGACAAUAUUGACCAUACUGGAAGGGAACUGUUCUAGUGGAAAGAACAGUGGAAAUCUGGAAAUACUUGUUUGUUCAUUCAUACAAAAUCUCUUGUUUGCAUAAUAGGUUCUAGACUCGGUACUCGAUGCCUGGACUCCAUGCCUCCUGCCCUUCUAGCAAACAGUCUAGAGAAGGCAAGGACGAAGAGAUCCCGAGCACAGACGCCAUCAGGGAAGGCUUCCCAGAAGGCAUGACAUCUAGGCUGAGACUUGAAAGAAGAGAAGGCUCUAGGGAAAGAGAGUAGCUUAUAUAAAAGCCUGGAGGCAAAAAGAACAGGAGGACACACUUGAGAGGCUGGAGAAUAUUUAACAUAGCUCAGGGAGAAACAUAGCUCUCAGGGAGAAAAUGAACCCGAUCUGUGUUUCUGAAAGUCCAAUCUGAAUGUGAUGGGGGCAAUGUACUGGGGGGGGCAAGGAUGGUGGUAGGGAGACUGGUUAGAAGGCUGUGACCAAGACAGAGAAUAGUGGCCUUACAACAGAGAAACACACGAAUUCCUAAGAUAUGGCUUUGGCAACCAGGAGUUUGGUGGUAACAUUCUCUAAAGUAAUGAAUUCAGCACCAAGAAGGAGGCUUGGGAGGGAGCAGAAGGUUGAUGAAUUCAGUAGGGGACAGGCUACAUCUUACCCUCUGGAGACCUCUGUGUAGGUAAGUUUGCAAGGCAGGUUCACGGAGUUGUGAACUUGGGGCAAGAGUCAGGUUGGAUAACCACACUAGAGAAUUCCAGCUUCUCAACAAGCCCUGGGUGGGGUGUGCCCAGGCCAGAAUCUCCAAUAUUCCGGUAUUUUUAAAGGAACUCACAGAAGAAAGAGUGAUCUAGUCUUCUUAUGUUAAGAACUAGAUGUGUGAUCCCAGGUAGGAAAGUUAACUUCAUUAUUCUUCAAUGGAGAUUUAAACCAUCUGCUUUAUCUGCCCAGUGGAGAUUUGUGGGGAUUCCAUGAAGUAAUGCAAACAGUGACUCUUGGAAAAGCCCACAUUGCUAUACAAACAUACAGUGGCAUCACUGUCAGGAUUAUUCAACCAUGAGAAUUUGGAAAAGCUGGAAGGGGUAACUUCAAACUCUACAUGUAUGCGCAAGUUUUUGGGAAAUGGACACUGCUCCUUCAUUAAUAAAGAGACGUAAAAACAUGCAAUAAUCAAUAAACAACAAUAUCCAAGUAAUGAGUGGUCUGUCUCUGUAAUGAAGACAUUAGUCAUUCUGAUUUUUUCCCACAGUCUUUGAUAGUUCUUUACGGAAAAAUACAGGACUGAGGAGCUAUCACUACAUGAUCUAGGUUUCAGGUACCCAAAAUAUGUGGCUUAGAAAUAAAAGUGAGAACAUUCCCAAGAAACUGGUGUCUUUCAUAUUAUGUUUGGUGCAGGACUUUUGUUAUAUGUCUCUCAAGCUUUUUUCCCAAGAACCAGCUGUACCACGCUAUGAGCAAUUUAUCUUCAUGUCAUAUUCUUGGCUGCUGCCAUUAAUCACAGUGUUCCCUUACUGGUGAGACUCUGAUUCUGAGCACUGAGAAAAUAAAAGACACAGGGUGGGAUGCUGUUCGUGACCUAAUUACUCUCAUCCCAUUGGUCUCCACCCCCAUUCCUCAACUUUCCCACCAAAUACCGGCAAGCUUUAAAGCCACUGCUUAGCUGUCUUUAAAAUGACUUGUUCCAACAGAUGUUCUCAGCCUCACACGUGCAUUUUCCUUUUUUUUUCUACUCACACUUUCUAUAUGAAUAGCAGAUUGUAAUGCUUCUGUUUUUCUGAUCCAGAGGGGAAGAGUCUACAUCAAAUUAGACCAGCUUUCUCUCAAUAGCUUAGUAACAGCGUAGGUGGAUGUUCUGACCCUCUUCCCUCCCCCUGCCUCCCUCUCCCACCCCUACCCCCCUGGAACUGCUAGCAGAUGUUUCCUCUAAGUCUUUCUUCUUCAAAACCCCAAUUCUCUGACUUUCUGGACUCUAUUAACAAACUGCAUUUCUUUCAUGCAGUUAUCUCUGAUUGCUUGGCACUCCCAGCCCACACAGGAUCAAGAAUGCUGUCACCUCCCAUCUCUCUCCCUAGUUUCCAGCAAUGUCAGUGAACGAAGAAAACUUACAGAUGAGAUUGGAACAGUAACCACCAUAUCCUUCCUCUCUUCCAAGACACUACUUACGACACUGAAGGUAAUGACAGGGUUUGUUCUGAGAACAUGUUAUGUUCUUAAUGAAAAAGAAAGGCUAUCAACUGAAAUCUAUUUUAAUUAAUAUUUAAAAAAAAAUUUUUUUUAAUCUUUAUUUUGAGAGAGAGACACAGUGUGAGCAGGGGAGGGGUAGAGAGAGGGGGAGACACAGAAUCCAAGGCAGGCUCCAGGCCCUGAGCUGUCAGCCCAGAGCCCGACGCGGGGCUCGAACCCACAAACUGUGAGAUCAUGACCUGAGCCAAAGUCGGACACCUAACCGACUGAGCCACCCAGGUGCCCCUAAUUAAUAUUUUUUAAAAAUGAGGGAAAGAUAUGAGUGCCAGGGACUUUGGCUGUUGGUUUUUCACCUCCUUUAGUUGUCAAGCUGUCUUAAACACACUGUCAUAGGUACAGUAUACGUAAAUCAAGCUAAUUUUUCUUGAUUUACUCGGUUUAACCUCCUUCCAAAGACAGUGCUUUUCCUCAUGCUAAUAAGCAUUUAGUUUGACAAAUGGUAACGUCUUAUAUUUAAAUACAUUUUGUAAUUUAUGUUGUUAAAUUUUCUACUCAAAACUUAAUUGUUCGGAUAAGCUUCCUUGAAACAGAAAAUGGUAACUGCCACCCUUUCCCCUUUCUUCAAAGACUUCAGUUGCUAUACACGCUUGCUUUUCAUACCAGACUAGCAGGAGAAAAGGUAUAAUUCUAACAGUGUUUUUAUAGCCAAGGUUCAUGAGCACCCAGGAAGGUAGUUCUGCUUUGCAGUUUAGGAGUCAGACCUAGAUUAGGAGCCCUGGCUCUGCCACUAGAUAGCAAUGUGGCAACUUGAGCAAGCUCCUGAGACUUCACGGGUGUCUCCUUGGCUAUACACAGAAAUCAUAAAGCCUCCAUAUAAUGAGAGACAGGAAGGUUUGUGAUCAUGAAUUUCAAAUGCCUAGCAGGGACAGGCAUACAAUACAUUCAGGAAAAAGCAGUUAUUUUUCCAAGUGUCCCAGAGCUUAGGUUUGGGGUUUCUGAUGAAAAAGGAAAGAAUAAACAUAAUUCAUUUUUAUUUUAGCUGAAAGUGGAUUUACACAAAGGGUUGUAUUCCAGGUGGACAAGUUAUUCAUCUAGCCUUGACAGGAGAAAUAUUCCCAAGCCUUGCUUACUAACCUACAGGGUUGAAGAGGUGCCUUCCCUAGAGGCUCCACUGAGUUACCCUACGGCCUCCCCAAGCUAGCAACCUUUUUCCUCUGUGUCCACUUCAUUAUUCUAGGAAUUACAGAAAGAAAGUUCAAGAUCUUUAUGUUGUUUUGUUUUUUUAAUUUUAUUUGAGAGAGAGAACAUGCAAGUGGGGUAGAGGGACAGAAGGAGAGAGAGAAUCUUAAGCAGGCUCCACACUCAGUGUGGGGUGGCCUGACCCGGGGCUCCAUGCCAUGACCCUGGGAUCAUGACCUGAGCUGAAAUCAAGAGUCAGACGCUCAACUAACUGAGCCACUCAGGCGCCCCUAAAAUCUCUAGGUUUUUUAAUGUCAAACUUUCCCUGUAGAAAGGAGUGCUACUUAAGGACAACAGAUUAUGCUGAGUACUUUACUACAAUAUGUAUCCUGUAUUAAACAAAAACAAUCAAAUAAAUAGCUAACUAUCCUUCAAGGGGAACAAC
rnacentral:lncRNA from 1 species